AUUUCUUUUGUCAAGGUAGUUUUAUUUUCUAGUUCAGGUACGUCAGUGAGUCAUAGUAGAGAUACAUUCUUGGCUGUUUUAGGGGAGUUAAGAGAACAUUUCAUUUAAAUGUAAAUGUUUAAAAUCAAAGAAAUGUUCCUGCAUAUGUACAGUUUUUACCUUUAAUCUUGUUUAACUGAUUUUUCUAGUCUUCAAGGAAAACUAUUUGAUUUUCACAUCUAUGAUGAGAGAAAACAGAAAAAUUGUCAAGAGUAAGAAUUGAUUUGACAUUACUUUUGAGAGUUAUCUGCUUCUUUUGUAAGUCAUAAUUUUUCAUUUUAUAGCUUUUAUACUGGGCACCUCAUUUUUUAACGGUUUGUUUUGGUUCCAGGAUGUUGCCUUCCUGGAGAAACUGAUUAAAGAUGAUAUAGAGCGAGGAAGACUGCCCCUGUUGCUUGUCGCAAAUGCAGGAACGGCAGCAGUAGGACACACAGACAAGAUUGGGAGAUUGAAAGAACUCUGUGAGCAGUAUGGCAUAUGGCUUCAUGUGGAGGGUGUGAAUCUGGCAACAUUGGCUCUGGGUUAUGUC
rnacentral:sRNA from 1 species